AGCUUAUUAGUUUAAAUUAAAACAUAGUUUUUGUAAAACUAAGAUAUAUUAAAUUUUAUUAGCUA
rnacentral:tRNA from 1 species